GAAGAUCAGGGAGGUGUACACCAAGGCGAAUAACAGUGUGUGACAUAUCGUCCAAAUCGUAG
rnacentral:pre_miRNA from 1 species